UGUUUCUUUUCCUUGUCUGUUUGUGGUAUGCUAUUCUUUCAGAGAGGGCAGCCUCUCUCCCAGAGUUGACCCCAGCCCAGAGGAACAAACUCCGUCACCUCUCCAUCAUCAGUCUGGCAUCCAAUCUCAAGAGCGAGUCCCCAUGGACGUGUGGCUGUUCGUCACCAUCUGUGCCGCAGCCGUCAUCUUCGUCCUCCUCCUCAUCCUCACUGUCAUCCUCAUCCGACGCCACAGACAGCGGGUGAUGAUGCCCAGACGUGGCAAACGCAGAUUCUGCAACUGCAAAGACCCCAAACCAAAAGGAUUCUACAGAAACUAGUGAUAUCGUACAGAUCGGAAUCCCUGUCAAUGGACAAUGUGUCUACUAUUUUGUCUUAGCUAUUCUAUUCUGAUAAAAAAGAAAAACCAAAAGGACAAAAGAAGCAAGAAAGAAGAGGUUUUCAUGUGAUAUUUGAUAAUAGAUUUCACAAGUGUAUAUUGUCAUGCUUUAUGACCUAUGAUUGAGCUACAAUUGAACAAAUACUGUAUAUAAAUAUGUAUAGCUACUGUCACUUUUGUAUUACUGUACACUGAGCUUACAAAACAUUAAGAACACGUGCUCUUUCCAUGACAUAGACUGACCAGGUGAAUCCAGGUGAAAGCUAUGAUCCCUUAUUGAUGUCACUUGUUAAAUCCAC